rnacentral:rRNA from 1 species
GCGGACCUGACUGCUAUCGGAGUGGGAUUAAGCCAUGCGAGUCGUACGUCCCCCAGCCGCGGGAGACGUGGCGAACGGCUCAGUAACGCGUAGCUAACCUGCCUUGGAGACGUGGAUAACCCCCGGGAAACUGGGACUAAUACGCGAUAGGCCAAAGCUUCUGGAAGGGGCUUUGACUGAAAGGGUUAGGUAAGCAUGCUUUACCUAAUCGCUCCAAGAUGGGGCUGCGUCCGAUCAGGCUGUUGGCGGGGUAAUGGCCCACCAAACCUAUAACCGGUACGGGCUUUGAGAGAAGGAGCCCGGAGAUGGACACUGAGACAAGGGUCCAGGCCCUACGGGGCGCAGCAGGCGCGAAACCUUCGCAAUGCGCGAAAGCGUGACGAGGCUACUCCGAGUGCCACUUGCUAAAGGUGGCUUUUCCCAGGUCUAAAAAAUCUGGGGAAGAAGGGGAGGGCAAGUUUGGUGUCAGCCGCCGCGGUAAUACCAGCUCCCCGAGUGGUCAGGACGUUUAUUUGGCCUAAAGCAUCCGUAGCUGGUUCUGUAGGUCUUCUGUUAAAUUCAGCGGCCCAACCGUUGAACUGCAGGAGAUACCGCAGGACUAGGAGGCGGGAGAGGCAGAUGGUACUUCGUGGGUAGGGGUAAAAUCCGUUGAUCCACGGAAGACCACCAGUGGCGAAGGCGAUCUGCCAGAACGCGCUCGACAGUGAGGGAUGAAAGCUGGGGGAGCAAACCGGAUUAGAUACCCGGGUAGUCCCAGCUGUAAACGAUGCGAGCUAGGUGAUAGGGUGGCUGCGAGCCAUCCUAGUGCCGCAGGGAAGCCGUUAAGCUCGCCGCCUGGGGAGUACGGUCGCAAGACUGAAACUUAAAGGAAUUGGCGGGGGAGCACCACAAGGGGUGAAACCUGCGGUUCAUU